UUUCCUGUGCUACCGGAAAUCUUUUUGUUUAUAUAGACUCUUCUGUCUCCCGGACUUAUCAGCCUGGCAGCAAUCAUAAAAAAACUCCAUGGGUUAAGGACUUUCUCCUGAUGUUUUUAGAGAAAUUCUAAAUAUAGUGGUUCUCUCACUGAGGAGUUACAGUUUGUUAUUCUGAACUCAUGAGGAAAAAGUGGCCGGGGAAUUAAAACUGAAAUCUCUCUCUACCAUGAAAAGCAAAGGGAGUUCCCCCAGGGUAAUCUCGUGGGACUGUGCCUGGGGCACUGCAGAGGGUUUCGUCACACCCAGCUCCUCUGGCUGACCAACUUCAGCACUGAUUUCUGUCUGGAAGACACCAGGGAGGGGAAAAUCUAUUCCAAGAGCCUGAGCCUAUCUAUACAUCCAAAAACGAAGACAGACUGUAAAUAUGGGGUCUGUUAACUGAACUAGCACCGGAUAACUAGUUUUGUUAGACACUGUCACCAGACUGUCUAGUAGCUCUAGCAUCUAAUAAAUGGGUAUUUGCAUGGUGUGGGAGUGAGAAAUUCCAGCUAUUAAUAUCCUGGAGCCUGUUUUCCCAGUGCAAACACACUUACACCGUGUUGUUCAUAAGGUGGUCUCCAAGGGGCUUGGGGAGAGAGUGGAAAGGGUACAGAGUUGCCACCUGAGGGGUGAAAUCCUGGAACCAGAGGACCGUAGGGAUGAUUUCAUUGUGCAACAGGCUUGGGCUGUUAGUAGGUGAAAUUGUGCUAGUGUAAGUGCUCUGCUAGCCAAGUGCAUGAGAUCCAUGAUACCAUGAAGACAUGGGCAGAUCCAGGCACUGACCUUGGAGGUGGGGAAGAGCUAAAGAACAAAGUUAUACUGGAACCUGCUUGUAGAGUAAUACGGGAGACUCCUCUGCAUAACUGUUUUGGAGGUAAGCAUAUAAUGACAGGGACUCUGAAGGUUAUCCAGGAGUUUAGUCUGUAACUGAGGUGUGAAGUGAGGAAUGAGGAUGUACAGUGUUAAAGCAGACCUGAGGUUGCUGUUUGGUUUCCAUGCCUACAGGGCCCUGUACUCAAAACAAAGGGAGGGGGCCAAGCACCACAAGAUCUCUUGCAGAUUUAAAACGCUUAAGAAUAACAGCUAGAGAAAUAAAGGCCAUUCAUCUGCCUUUAAACACAAUCAGCACCUCUGCUUUUUGACCUGAAAGCUCCAGAUAUGUCCAAGUUCUGCUGAACCAAGGAAACAAGUUUUUUGGGAGGAAAAGCAAGCCUGAUCUUCCUGUGAUGAGAGAUGAUGACUGAAGACAGAAGGUUUGGAAACAGCAACUAGAGCUCACAGGCAUUUCAGUCCAGGAGUCAAAGAUGUAAAUCCUUUUUUGUUCUUCCUCCCAUCUGCCCUAUACUGACUACCCUGACCAAUGAUCUGGGAGGGGAGAGUGGGAUUAAUGCUUUCUGCUUAGUUCCAGCCCUGUGAACUUUACAUCCUUUGCCACAGACCAAUAGACCAUCAAGAGGAGGAUUCCCUGUCCUCACUCCCAAGAAUUUCCUCAGUCUGCGCAUUUCGAGGAGGCAUGUGUUUGAUUUUUUUCUGAGUUAGGGAAGAGUUGAGCCCAUCUCCAUCUCUUCAAUCAGUGCCUGAAAUGGAAGGCCACCACCUGAAAGGCUGCAAGAGUGUUUCUGUGCUCUUCAGGAGGUGGCUUGGAGCUGUCAGAGGUCAGACAAGCAGACAUGAGCCUUCCUGCAGCCCUCUUCCACAGCUGAAGUUGGGGCAUGGGAAGGAGUUUGGUGAUCACCUCUGUUGUUCAUAUUUUCUACGGGAUCACUUUGACAGCUCCACACUGUACUGCCGGGAGGCCUGGGCUUCCUGGGGGGUGUUUUGGAUCACAUUUUAGCAACCUGGCCUCGUGUUGUACCUGUGUAGGCUAUUACUGGAAGAGGUAAACCAGCUCUUCUCUCUCUGCCUCAGCCAUGGAUUGCAGUUUACCUCUUUAUGCCUCAAAUCUAGCUCUUGUACAACUAUAGGCAAACCAGCACUGCUUGCUAACCUGAUAUCAAGGGGUUUCUGAGGCACGUGUGAAAAGGGCAGCUUUCUGAGAAACUGGGCAGACUUGAAACUGAGCAGUGCUUGCUGCAGGAUCACAAAAUCCAUACUGAAGUGCUGGCGAUGUGUCUCAGCAGGCAAACAGGGUCAGAGAGGAGUUUGGGAUGGGCCCUUCUGGCAGUGGCCUACAGGUGUACUGGAUUAGGAAAGGCAGCAAGCCCCAGCCCCAACAGUGCUCUUUACCCCCCAGCUUCAGUCAACUCCAAAGGUUGAGAGUAGAAAGCUGUACCUAGAAGCACCAGCCGAUCACAGGCUUGUAGUUCCUGACCCCAUAAAGUGCAAAUUAUCCAAUGUGUGAGGGAAAGUGCCUUCAAUUCAUCUUGCAGGCAGUGAAUUAUUUUCAAAAUCUGGCCCUGAUAAACUGGAGGGUUUUUUGCUGCAUCUUAAGUGCAGAAAUUCAAAGAACUGGAUGUUGGCACAUGAGAAUGGUUUUCCACUACCUGAACUGUCUCCAGUUUUCUUCACACAGCUCUCCUAAUCAUAUCUCAGUGGGCCAAAAUUUCUGCUAGAUUAAAUAAUAACAGUUGGAUGAACUCAAACGGUGUCUUGGUCUUUUACGCAAAUGGAUCUCUUACCCUGCUGUUGUAAAAAAUAUCUGCAGUGUUUAUUAAUCUAUUAAAUUUUUGAGUAAAAAAAAAAAAAAGCCAUAAACUAAAAGGGUUGCUAAUUAACCACAGAGCUGAAAAGUUAAAACUAUUACUGCAGACCCAUUCUCAGUUACACUGACAUGAGUGUGAAGUAAUUUUACUGAAGCCAGUGCUGUUCCCAGAGACUUUCACCACUUUAUCUGCAAUCAGAAUCCUGCUCAGUGUAUCUGAAUGUCUUUUGUCUCAGCUUAGUUUCAGCCCAGUGACGCAUCUCCACCUUGCAACCACCCCAUUGGCUUUCAUGAAUGUCUUUUUUUGUUGAGAGCACUGCCAUUUUGGUUUCCAUUUAAAAAGAAUUAAAAGAUCCAAUUAUGCAAAUUAAUUUUAAAAGCUUUAUCACCUCUCUUCUGGGAGAAAGUUUAUUGCACAAAGGUUGCAACUGGCUUAAAGCAAGGCUUCUGGGGCUUUGAAAUGCAUUCCAGUGCGACACCUGCCUCUGCCCAAUGGUAGAGCCCAUAGGGACAGAGGAAGGAAGAGGGAUGGAUUAGGGUGCCACCCAGGAGCCCCAGGAGACUCAAUCAGGUGGGUUAAGCUUUGUAGUUUGGCUGCAAGGCUUGGAGGUUGAAUCUCUGACCUAUUAUUUAAUGCAGGGCACUGAGAAGAGGCAAUUACUUUGGAACAGGGUGGAGUCUAGCUCAGGAAAAGCAUGUUCAAUCACAAGCUUAUAUUAUUUAGGCUUUAGAAAUUAUCCACUGCAAAUAUUAGGCCAAGACAGGGAAGAACAGGGACACGCUAAAAUAAUAUUUGCAAGUAAUGUGUGCUGUCUGUGAUGAGCAGGGCUAACUGCCCUCCCUCUAUUUCCAUCUGACAUGGGGAAACGCUCUCAUAGUGAUGCAAGGCUCAGGAAGUGGCUGGGUGAAAACUCAGCAGCUGUGAAAGCAGCUCCCAUCCUUCCUCGUGCCUCCCUUCCCCAUAUCCAGCCUGUUCCUAACGUUAGGUGAAAGCUGCUAAAGUAGCAGAAGAGCUGCUCCUCGCUCGUUCUAGCAAGCUGUGGAAAGCCAUGGGUCACAGGGAGGAAAGGAAUACUGAAAUUAAACAUCUAUAUCAUGGCAGCUACAGAAUAUCUUCAAGCUGCUGCUGAAGUAAAGAAACCAGAGGUGAACAAGUCAGGCUGCAGGGUGCACCUGGGAACCCAGAGGAGUCAGCCUGGACCUCUUUGGGCUGAGCACACAGAUGGGAAGAUGCAGCAAAACUCAGUGGGAAUAAAACUUCUGGGAGUUCAGGUGUCUUCUAUACCUAGCCUGGGAGACAAUGAUGUUUCUGUGGUGCCAGGAGCAGCAGGGCUUCAUGCAAAGUCUGCUUACAGUAUCUACAGAAAGCCUUCACUGUACUUUGUCUCACUGUGAUCUCACCAGUCAUAAAAGAGCUUGUUUUCUCAUGUGUCAUUUGGUGUCCCCAUCGCACACUUACUGGAAACUACUCGUUGGCUUUUGGACACGAGCUGUACACCAGACUGGGCGGCUCAGGGCAAUGGGUGAAGAACUAACAUGUUGCAAGAAGGUGAUUGUGGCUGCUGUGCUGAUGGUCACACUGAUACCCACACGUUAACAAGGCGAUGGUCAGCAGGCGCUAAGGGAAGAUAAGCUUGCAAAGAGGACUGGAAAAAUGACUUGCAGGCUUGCUCAGUUCGCAGAAAUCUUCCCUUGUAGCUAUAUAUAUUAAAAGGUGAAAAAAACAGCAGACUUUGGCAAAUGCACUCACGUUUAGAACACUGCACUGGAAAUGUUUCUCAAAAAUGGGGUGGCUCUUACCCUUCCCUCUCUGGAUGUUGAUGAGGUAAACCUGAUGAGCUGCCCUGACUAUUUCAUACAGAUGUGAGAAGACAUAGAGGUCACCACAUCACUGUGUGUGUCUGAAGUAAACUGAGGAUUUUGGAAUGGGAAGCCUGUCCCACUGAGGUUUUUCCUUUUAAAUUCUGACAUUUGUUACUAAGAAAGAAAGAAAGAAAAGAAGAGAAAGAAAAGAAACAGAGAAACAGAGUGUCUGUAUUUAUGUGGAGCUGUAACUCUCAAACAGAAAAGGUUUAGUGGACUUUUCAGACAGAAUGACUCUGAACAUCCUUUCAGCAUGUUGUUUUAUAUAUGCUAGCAUGCUCUGGCCUCUGCUGCAAUAGACAACCCCAAUGUUGUAAUAAGAGCCCUCAAGACUCUACGGUAUAAAAAAAAAUGUCACAGUAUUUGAACAAGAGGUGGUCUCAGGAUCACGUUCUCCUGGGAUCACUGAAUGUGCUACUGCAAGGGAAAAAUCACUCUUGCAAUUGCUGUUAAAUGUCUUUCCUGUUGUUCAUUUAGAAAUUUCAAAAAUUGCCCAGGUUAUAAUAAAAUAGAUUUCAUCACCAAUUAAGAAUCAUGACCUAAUUUAUUGGAUUAUAUGGAUUAUAUGAAUUUAUAUGGAUCAGGAGAAAGUCUCUGAUUUGCAAAAUCCCUGUUGGAGGAGUGCACAGAUCCCCCCAGCAGCUGGUGGUGGGGAGCUCCUGGUAGCUCCCAGUGCAGUCCCAGCUCCAUCCAGCAGAAGUCAACCUGACAGCCGUGCACUGGCCGCUCCCUUGCACAGCUCACCGUGAAAUCACCGAAUUGCCUGAGGCAGGAAGAAGGGCAUCAACCCUCUGUCAAUACUGGCCUGUGUAGAGCUGAAACUUAAGGCAGGGUAGAAAAGGGAGGAUCCAAGACACCACAUGUGCAGCGGGGCUUUCUCAGAGGCAAUGGAAGCCAGAGACUGAAGAUGGAGAAUGGGGAAAGAAGCCAU